AGCCGUGGCCUACUGGUUAGCGCUUCGGACUUGUAACCGGAGGGUUGCCGGUUCGAACCGGUAGGCAUGGCUG
rnacentral:tRNA from 1 species